rnacentral:rRNA from 1 species
CCUACGGGCGGCAGCAGUGAGGAAUAUUGGUCAAUGGACGCAAGUCUGAACCAGCCAUGCCGCGUGCAGGAAGACGGCUUUAUGAGUUGUAAACUGCUUUUGUACGAGGGUAAACGCAGAUACGCGUAUCUGUCUGAAAGUAUCGUACGAAUAAGGAUCGGCUAACUCCGUGCCAGCAGCCGCGGUAAUACGGAGGAUUCAAGCGUUAUCCGGAUUUAUUGGGUUUAAAGGGUGCGUAGGCGGUCGGAUAAGUUAGAGGUGAAAUCCCGAGGCUCAACUUCGGAAUUGCCUCUGAUACUGUUAGGCUAGAGAGUAGUUGCGGUAGGCGGAAUGUAUGGUGUAGCGGUGAAAUGCUUAGAGAUCAUACAGAACACCGAUUGCGAAGGCAGCUUACCAAGCUACGUCUGACGUUGAGGCACGAAAGCAUGGGGAGCAAACAGGAUUAGAUACCCGAGUAGUC